GUAGUCCUAGCCGUAAACGAUGGACACUGAGUGAAGGGGGGCUUGCCCCUCUUUGCUGCAGCUAACGCGUUAAGUGUCCCGCCUGGGGAGUACGGCCGCAAGGUUAAAACUCAAAGGAAUUGACGGGGGCUCGCACAAGCGGUGGAGCAUGUGGUUCAAUUCGAUGCAACGCGAAGAACCUUACCCGGGCUUGAAGUGGAGGUGGUAGGAACCGGAAACGGUAACGACCCCGCAAGGGGAGCCUUCAUCAGGUGUUGCAUGGCUGUCGUCAGCUCGUGUCGUGAGAUGUUGGGUUAAGUCCCGUAACGAGCGAAACCCUUGUGACUAGUUGCGACCCGAAAGGGGCACUCUAGUCAGACUGCCCGUGUCGAAUGGGA
rnacentral:rRNA from 1 species